rnacentral:misc_RNA from 1 species
GAUGAAGAACGCAGCGAAAUGCGAUAAGUAAUGUGAAUUGCAGAAUUCAGUGAAUCAUCGAAUCUUUGAACGCACAUUGCGCCCGCCAGUAUUCUGGCGGGCAUGCCUGUUCGAGCGUCAUUUCAACCCUCAAGACCCCUUCGGGGGACUUGGUGUUGGGGACCGGCACAGGGGCCUGCCUGCUUGUCUUGCAGCGCCCUCGCCGCCCCCGAAAUGAAUUGGCGGCCUCGUCGCGGCCUCCCCUGCGUAGUAGCACAACCUCGCAACGGGAACGUGACGGCGGCCACUGCCGUAAAACAACCCCAAUUUUAUUAGAGUUGACCUCGAAUCAGGUAGGAAUACCCGCUGAACUUAAGCAUAUCAAUAAGUGGAGGA